GACGAACGCUGGCGGCGUGCUUAACACAUGCAAGUCGAACGAUGAACCCGGAGCUUGCUCCGGCGGAUUAGUGGCGAACGGGUGAGAAACACGUGAGUAACCUGCCCUUGACUCUGGGAUAACUGCGGGAAACUGUAGCUAAUACCGGAUACGACCCUCGGCGGCAUCGCCAGGGGGUGGAAAGAAUUUCGGUCAAGGAUGGACUCGCGGCCUAUCAGCUAGUUGGUGAGGUAACGGCACACCAAGGCGACGACGGGUAGCCGGCCGGAGAGGGUGACCGGCCACACUGUGACUGAGACACGGCCCAGACUCCUACGGGAGGCAGCAGUUGGGAAUAUUGCACAAUGGGCGCAAGCCUGAUGCAGCAACGCCGCGUGAGGGAUGACGGCCUUCGGGUUGUAAACCUCUUUUAGUAGGGAAGAAGCGAAAGUGACGGUACCUGCAGAAAAAGCACCGGCUAACUACGUGCCAGCCGCCGCGGUAA
rnacentral:rRNA from 1 species